rnacentral:lncRNA from 1 species
AGGCAGACAGGAGUAAGAUGGAGGCAGACAGGUGUAAGAUAGAGGCAGGCAGGUGUAAGAUAGAGGCAGGCAGGUGUAAGAUAGAGGCAGACAGGUGUAAGAUAGAGGCAGACAGGUGUAAGAUAGAGGCAGGCAGGUGUAAGAUAGAGGCAGACAGGUGUAAGAUAGAAGCAGGCAGGUGUAAGAUAGAGGCAGACAGGUGUAAGAUAGAUGCAGAUGUAUGUAAGAUAGAGGCAGGCAGGUGUAAGAUAGAGGCAGACAGGUGUAAGAUAGAAGCAGGCAGGUGUAAGAUAGAGGCAGGCAGGUGUAAGAUAGAGGCAGACAGGUGUAAGAUAGAAGCAGGCAGGUGUAAGAUAGAGGCAGACAGGUGUAAGAUAGAGGCAGACAGGUGUAAGAUAGAGGCAGACAGGUGUAGGAUAGAGGCAGGCAGGUGUAAGAAAGAGGCAGGUAGGUGUAAGAUAGAGGCAGACAGGUGUAAGAUAGAGGCAGACGGG